AUACGGAGGGUGCAAGCGUUAUUCGGAAUUAUUGGGCGUAAAGCGCGUGUAGGCGGUUGUUUAAGUCUGAUGUGAAAGCCCCGGGCUCAACCUGGGAAGUGCAUUGGAAACUGUUCAUCUUGAGUGCUGGAGAGGAAGGGGGAAUUCCCGGUGUAGAGGUGAAAUUCGUAGAGAUCGGGAGGAAUACCAGUGGCGAAGGCGCCCUUCUGGACGGCAACUGACGCUGAGACGCGAAAGCGUGGGGAGC
rnacentral:rRNA from 1 species